rnacentral:rRNA from 1 species
GACGAAGGGAGCUAGCGUUGUUCGGAAUUACUGGGCGUAAAGGGCGCGUAGGCGGCUUUACAAGUUAGAUGUUAAAGACCUGGGCUUAACCUGGGGGGUGCGUUUAAUACUGUAGAGCUAGAGGAUGAGAGAGGAAAAUGGAAUUCUAGGUGUAGAGGUGAAAUUCGUAGAUAUCUAGAGGAACACCAGUGGCGAAGGCGAUUUUCUGGCUCAUUACUGACGCUGAGGCGCGAAAGCGUGGGGAGCAAACAGGAUUAGAUACCCUGGUAGUCCACGCUGUAAACGAUGGAAGCUAAAUGUUGGGUGGAGACACUCAGUGUUGCAGCAAACGCGUUAAGCUUCCCGCCUGGGGAGUACGGUCGCAAGAUUA